rnacentral:rRNA from 1 species
UACGUAGGGGGCAAGCGUUGUCCGGAAUUAUUGGGCGUAAAGAGCGUGUAGGCGGUCCGGUAAGUCAGCUGUGAAAGUCAAGGGCUCAACCCUUGAAAGCCGGUUGAUACUGUCGGGCUAGAGUCCGGAAGAGGCGAGUGGAAUUCCCGGUGUAGCGGUGAAAUGCGCAGAUAUCGGGAGGAACACCAAUGGCGAAGGCAGCUCGCUGGGACGGUACUGACGCUGAGACGCGAAAGCGUGGGGAGCA